GUCCUACGGGGGGCAGCAGUGGGGGAUAUUGCACAAUGGGGGGAACCCUGAUGCAGCGACGCCGCGUGGGUGAAGAAGCGCCUCGGCGCGUAAAGCCCUGUCAGCAGGGAAGAAAAUGACGGUACCUGAAGAAGAAGCCCCGGCUAACUACGUGCCAGCAGCCGCGGUAAUACGUAGGGGGCAAGCGUUAUCCGGAUUUACUGGGUGUAAAGGGGGCGCAGACGGCGAUGCAAGCCAGGAGUGAAAGCCCGGGGCUCAACUCCGGGACUGCUUUUGAAACUGUUGAACUAGAUUGCAGGAGAGGG
rnacentral:rRNA from 1 species